rnacentral:rRNA from 1 species
AGUUACCAGCACGUAAUGGUGGGAACUCUAAGGGAGACUGCCGGUGACAAACCGGAGGAAGGUGGGGAUGACGUCAAGUCAUCAUGGCCCUUACGGCCAGGGCUACACACGUGCUACAAUGGUCGGUACAAAGGGUUGCCAAGCCGCGAGGUGGAGCUAAUCCCAUAAAACCGAUCGUAGUCCGGAUCGCAGUCUGCAACUCGACUGCGUGAAGUCGGAAUCGCUAGUAAUCGUGAAUCAGAAUGUCACGGUGAAUACGUUCCCGGGCCUU